AGCUCAUAUUUCUGCACGGUGUUGGAGCACAAGGUCACCUGGGAAGAAAAAGGUGACACAUGGCUGUUCUGAAAGAGGGAAUUGCUGCAUGCAAAUUUGAGUCCACACAGACCUGGCUGAAAGUGCAGAUCAGGAGGGAGAGCUGAAGCUUGGAGGGA